UUUUUUUGAGAAUUUGAUCCUGGUUCAGGAUGAACGCUGGCGGCGUGCCUUAGGCAUGCAAGUCGAACGGGAAGGUGCCAUACGGUACCUUCCAGUGGCAGACGGGUGAGUAUCGCGUAGGAAUCUACCUCUAGGCGGACCAUAGCUCAUCGAAAGAUGGGGUAAUAGUCCAUAGUCCAGGUGCCGCAUGGUACCUGGUAAAGCGCUUAACUGCGCACCAAGAGAGGAGCCUGCGUCCUAUCAGCUUGUUGGUGGGGUAAAAGCCUACCAAGGCUCUGACGGGUAGCUGGACUGAGAGGUCGAUCAGCCACAACUGCACUGAAACACGGGCAGUACACCUACGGGUGGCAGCAACUAGGAAUAUUGCGCAAUGGGGGAAACCCUGACGCAGCGACGCCGCGUGGAGGAAGAAGGUCUAUGGAUCGUAAACUCCUUUUGCCAAGCCGUUCACAGCUUGGAGAAUAAGCCUCUACUAACUACGUGCCAGAAGUCUCGGUAAUACGUAGGAGGCAAGCGUUAUCCGGAUUUAUUGGGCGUAAAGUGUGCGUAGGCGGUCCGACGAGUCUCUUCUUAAAUAUCAGAGCUUAACUCUGGAAGUGGGAGAGAUACUGUCGGACUUGAGGGUUGAUAGGGAUACUGGAACAGUUAGUGUAGCAGUGAAAUGCGUUGAUAUUAACUGGAACACCAAAGGCGAAGGCAAGUAUCUAGAUUCUCCCUGACGCUGAGGCACGAAAGCUAGGGUAGCGAAACAGAUUAGAGACCUGUGUAGUCCUAGCCGUAAACGAUGUCCGCUAGCUUUGUGCAUUUAUGUACGAGGCGUAAGCUAACGCGUUAAGCGGACCGCCUGGGGAGUACGGCCGCAAGGCUAAAACUCAAAGGAAUUGACGGGGACCCGCACAACCGGUGGAGCGUGUGGUUCAAUUCGAGACAAAACGAAGAACCUCACCAGGGUUUGACAUAAUACCGUACAUUUUCCUGGAAACAGGAAGAAAUCCGCAAGGAUGGUACUACAGGUGCUGCAUGGCUGUCGUCAGCUCGUGCCGUGAGGUGUUCCCUUAAGUGGGGAAACGAGCGCAACCCGCGCCAAAUGUUAAAUAUUCAUUUGGGACUGCCCCAGUUUUACUGGGAAGGAAGGAGCGGAAGACGUCAAGUCAGCAUGGUCCUUAUACCCUGGGCUACACACACACUACAAUGGCGAAAAACAACGUGUUGCAAGCCGGCAACGGCAAGCUAAUCACUCAAAUUUCGCCUCAGUUCAGAUUGGGGGCUGAAACUCGCCCUCAUGAAGUCGGAAUCGGUAGUAAUCGCGGAUCAGCAAGCCGCGGUGAAUACGUUCUCGGGUCUUGUACACACCGCCCGUCAAGGCAGCAAAGUCGGGAGUAGACGAACUACGAUUUUUUUCGUGGGAGUCUAAAUUCGGCGAUGAAGCUUAAGUCGUAACAAGGUAUCCCUAGCCGAAGCUGGGGAUGGAUCACCUCCUUUCUAAG
rnacentral:rRNA from 1 species